UUCAUACCUUAAAACAGGAAGGUCUGGAAUUCCAAUGGAAACACACAUAAGUUCAACCUUUGCAAAACAAGGAGUCAGUGGGGCUCAAUGAACCCUUGCUGGAUUCCUAGCCCCAGGUCCAGCUCCACAGGGUGGUCCUGGAUGUGCUUCUUUGGAAUCCUGCCAACUAUGCCAAGUAAAUGUCAAUGUAAGAAACAUUCAAACCUGUAGAGGAAAUUUUUUUACUUUAUUUGAGCCAAAUUGAUGACAAUUGCUAGGAAGCAAAAUCUCAACAAACUGAGAAAUGCUAUAGAGAAUGGCAGUUUAGCACCUUAUUUUAUACAUUACAAUGAAAAGAGGAGACAUAAGGGGGUUAUAAGAAAUCCAUUGGUGAUAGAUUAAGGAGGUGGGAGAAAGCAUGGAUGGAA